UUCCUGGGCCAUUAGCUCAGGUGGUUAGAGCGCACCCCUGAUAAGGGUGAGGUCCCUGGUUCAAGUCCAGGAUGGCCCAUAUCUCUAUGUUGGGGGUAUAGCUCAGUUGGUAGAGUGCCUGCUUUGCAAGCAGGAUGUCAGCGGUUCGAGUCCGCUUACCUCCACUGAAUACCACCUCUUACAUAUAUUUAAAGAGGGAAAUUGUUUUGAGUCGUGUCCUAAUUUGCUCUGAGCGAAUCUAGCUUCCUAUUUUAUUCAAUAAAUAAGAUGCUGGACUCAUUGAUUUUUUCAUUAUUUUCAGAGAACCUUGACAACUGCAUAGAUUAUUUUUGAAGACAAUAAGCAUCUCUAAUGAUGCAGAUUUAUUAUUUGUGCGAAUGCAUUAAAUAACAAUUCUAUUAAGCUGAUGCUUCAAUUAUUGAAGUUAUUGGUCAAGCUACAAAGGGCUCACGGAGGAUACCUAGGCACACAGAGGCGAUGAA
rnacentral:tRNA from 1 species